rnacentral:rRNA from 1 species
CUGAUUAGCUAGUUGGUGAGGUAAUGGCUCACCAAGGCUACGAUCGGUAGCUGGUCUAAGAGGAUGAUCAGCCACACUGGUACUGGAACACGGACCAGACUCCUACGGGAGGCAGCAGUUAGGAAUUUUGCGCAAUGGGGGAAACCCUGACGCAGCAACGCCGCGUGAAGGAUGAAGGCCUUCGGGUUGUAAACUUCUUUCGACAGGGAAAAAACAAAUGAUGGUACCUGGAGAAGAAGCACCGGCUAACUACGUGCCAGCAGCCGCGGUAAUACGUAGGGUGCAAGCGUUACUCGGAUUUAUUGGGCGUAAAGCGCAUGUAGGUGGUUUUAUAAGUCUGAUGUGAAAGCCCUGGACUCAAUUCAGGAACUGCAUUGGAUACUGUAAGACUAGAGUAUGGGAGAGGUAGGCGGAAUUCUUGGUGUAGAGGUGAAAUUCGUAGAUAUCAAGAGGAACAACAGAAGCGAAGGCGGCUUACUGGACCAUAACUGACACUGAGAUGCGACAGUGUGGGGAGCAAACAGGAUUAGAUACCCUGGUAGUCCACACCGUAAACGAUGGAUACUAGAUGUCGGGAGUUCUUACCCUCUCGGUGUCGUAGCUAACGCGUUAAGUAUCCCGCCUGGGGAGUACGGUCGCAAGAUUAAAACUCAAGAAAUUGACGGGGGCCCGCACAAGCGGUGGAUUAUGUG